GCAAAUAUUAUAUUUUUCAUUUUUCUCUCAUACGCAUCUCUCUCUCUGCAUUCUCUCUCAUUUUCUGCCCUCUACCGUCUCUCUCUCUCCCCAUCCUUCUCCGGCGGACGUCGCCGCUUCUUGCCGCCUCUGGCGCGGCGAGCCGGCGCCUCUCCUUCCCCCUCCUUUCUAUCUUCUAUCUUUCCCCAAUUUCUCAAAUUAAAGCUACCUAGGGUUCUCUCUAAAUUUCCCCCUUCAAUUCCACUUCUCCGGUGAACUCUGCCGCCACCGCCGCCACUGCUACUGCAGCCGCCUGAACGUCUCCCUGUCAUCCUCCCUGCCUCAGCCACCGCGGACCGCCUUGGCGCGGGCCGCACCGGCGAUCGCUGCCGUCGGACGGGCUGACGGGAAAGGCAGCGGCUGCUGCUGCUAAAAGGAAACAGCUGGAAUUUUACCUACUUGUAUCUAUAAUCAUUUUACCUUAUUGUUGGAUAAAAGUUUUGAUUUUGAAUGUGGUGUUGAUAUGUGAAUUUAAUUUAAUAGUUACGUAAUUUGAUUUUGAAUGUGGUUUAUGCAA